rnacentral:rRNA from 1 species
UGCCUGGCUUAGGUCGGUGCACGCUUCAACCCUUUGUGAACCAAAAAAACAUUUCGCUUCGGUUAGCAGGUUCAGUCCGCGCGCAAGCAAAGCUGUUCCGUAAGCCUGCCGGUAGCACCCAACAACCAAACUUGCCGUAUAACAUUGUCUGAACACCAAAUUUUCGAAUGAAAAUUAAAACUUUCAACAACGGAUCUCUUGGUUCUCGCAUCGAUGAAGAACGCAGCGAAACGCGAUAGUUAAUGUGAAUUGCAGAAUUCAGUGAAUCAUCGAGUCUUUGAACGCACAUUGCGCCCAUCGGUAUUCCUUUGGGCAUGUCUGUUUGAGCGUCAUUACAACCCCUCAGCGCAAGCUGGUUUUGAGCCGCGAGCCUGCUCUCGAGCAGGUCUCCCGCUUUAAAGUUGUAAGCUCUGCUGGUUGCUACACCUGACCUAAAACAUAGUAAAUUUUGCUUGUUUACAAGGGAAGGUUGACAACUCGGCCUGAACAAAACCUAACCAUUUCUAAGGUUUGACCUCAGAUCAGAUAAGGAUACCCGCUGAACUUAAGCAUAUCAAUAGCCCGGAGGAAA